UGUUAUAAUGACACAACGUUGUGUGAAAUGAUGUUACAUGAGGACCUGCUGUAAUCAAAUGAGCUGAAGUUCACCAAAGAUGGAAUAGAAGUCAGAGAGUGAGUUUUAGGCAAGUAAAUAUAUGCAAGAACCCACUUACCUGGUAAGUAAAAUUACCUAUUCUUCCUUGUGACCAGGAUCCAAUUAUCCUUAGCAUAUGUAAUCUACAUUCUGUAAACUCAUCUGCUUUGAUUACAGCUGUUUCUUUUGUGGGGUAUCAUU
rnacentral:lncRNA from 10 species